rnacentral:rRNA from 1 species
AACGAACGUUGGCGGCGUGGAUUAGGCAUGCAAGUCGGGGGAAUCCCAGCAAUGGGGGAACCGGCGUAAGGGGCAGUAAGGCGUGGGUACCUACCCUGGGGUUCGGGAUAGCCGUCAGAGAUGGCGGGUAAUACCGGAUGACCUCGGGAGAGCAAAGAUUUAUCGCCCUGGGAGGGGCCCACGUGAUAUUAGCUUGUUGGUGAGGUAAUGGCUCACCAAGGCGAAGAUGUCUAGCGGGUGUGAGAGCACGACCCGCGCCACUCGCACUGAGACACUGGCGAGACACCUACGGGUGGCUGCAGUCGAGGAUCUUCGGCAAUGGGCGCAAGCCUGACCGAGCGACGCCGCGUGUGCGAUGAAGGCCUUCGGGUUGUAAAGCACUGUCGAGGGGGAGGAAAGCGAAAGCUUGACCUAUCCCUGGAGGAAGCACGGGCUAAGUUCGUGCCAGCCGCCG